GACGAACGCUGGCGGCGUGCUUAACACAUGCAAGUCGAACGAUGAAGAAAAGAAUCGAAGCUUCGGCAGAAAUUCAUUUCGGAUUAGUGGCAGACGGGUGAGUAACGCGUGAGCAACCUACCCCUUACAAAGGGAUAGCCUCGGGAAACCGGGAUUAAUACCAUAUAACAUUGCGACGAAGCAUUUCGAUGCAAUCAAAGCUACGGCGGUAAGAGAUGGGCUCGCGUCCCAUUAACCGGAUGGUGAGGUAACGGCGCACCAUAGGGACGAUGGGUAACCGGGCUGGGAGGGUGACCGGUCACACUGGAACUAGGACACAGUCCAGACUCCUACGGGAGGCAGCAGUGGGGAAUAUUGCACAAUGGAGGGAGCUCUGAUGCAGCGACGCCGCGUAAGUGAUGAAGGGAUUCGUUUCGUAAAGCUCUGUUCUAUGGGAAGAAAAGGACUGUACCAUAGGAGAAAGCACCGGCUAACUACGUG
rnacentral:rRNA from 1 species